GGAGUUUGGGCCGUGUCUCAGUCCCAAUGUGGCCGUUCACCCUCUCAGGCCGGCUACUGAUCGUUGACUUGGUGGGCCGUUACCUCACCAACUAUCUAAUCAGACGCGGGUCCAUCGUAUGCCACCGGAGUUUUUACCCCUGUCUCAUGCGAGACUGUGGUCUUAUGCGGUAUUAGCAGUCAUUUCUAACUGUUAUCCCCCAGUAUGAGGCAGGUUGCCCACGCGUUACUCACCCGUCCGCCACUAAGAAUAUACAAUCAUCUGCCGAAGCUUCUGAAGCGUAUAUUCUCCGUUCGACUUGCAUGUGUUAAGCCUGUAGCUAGCGUUCAUC
rnacentral:rRNA from 1 species